UUUCCCAGAGGUCCACCCCUCGGGCCAGGCAUAUGGCACUGACAGAGCAGGAGCUCCGCAGCUCCAGGUAUAAGCCGGCACCUGCUGCCCAGCAACUAACUACACGGCCAACGUAACCGUAUCGGUCUGCGUGGGACGUUCCUUUCCCACAGCGUGGACCGGCUGACUCCUGACUUAUAAAAGGGAAAGGCGCAUGGUGGGCGACAAAGUCCAUUUCCAGCCCCCAGAGAGCAAAUCCCUGGGCGAAACUCGACGACAUCUCGUGUUCUGCUCUGCUCUAUCAACUACUGCUUCCUGAUAGACUUAUUGCCUAAUUUGCUGUUAACCACCCAACAUCCACGACUGAGAAGAAAGGCUGGGCCACCCUUUACAGCCCCACUGCCGAGGCCUGAGUUUAUGAGCUGAAAGAUCAGAACGCUGCCUGUAUCCGGAAGCCUCCCCACCGGGGUCCGCUGGGCCCAGACCCGUGAACAGACGUUCUCAGGGCUCAGGCAUUCAGAACGGAGAAGUUCGGCCAGAGCAGGAAGGCUCAGAAAAGCCAGUUUGGGCUGGAAGUAAGCUGCCAGAAAGUCAUUCCUUUCUGGUUUACGAGAAAACCACCUUUCUCAUAAACCACCAGCUUGUAAAAUAAGGAAAUAAAGAGACCGAACCAGAAAAUUCCCUUCUCUCCCCUCCCCUCCUUCCUGGAAACAUACACAGAGAGCACAGG